rnacentral:rRNA from 1 species
GACGAACGCUGGCGGCGUGCUUAACACAUGCAAGUCGAACGGAGUGGCGAACGGGUGAGUAACACGUGGGUGAUCUGCCUUGCACUUCGGGAUAAGCUUGGGAAACUGGGUCUAAUACCGGAUAGUGCAAGAUGAGCUCGCGGCCUAUCAGCUUGUUGGUGGGGUAAUGGCCUACCAAGGCGUCGACGGGUAGCCGGCCUGAGAGGGUGGACGGCCACAUUGGGACUGAGAUACGGCACAGACGGGUACGGGAGGCAGCAGUGGGGAAUAUUGCACAAGGGGCGGAAGGCUGAUGCAGAGGCGCCGCGGGUGGGAUGAAGGCCUUAGGGGUGUAAACGCCUUUCGACAGGGACGCGGUACCUGUAUAAGAAGCACCGGCUAACUACGUGCCAGCAGCCGCGGUAAUAA